rnacentral:snRNA from 1 species
GUGCUCGCUUCGGCAGCACAUAUACUAAAACUGGAACCACACAGAGAAGAUUAGUAUGGCCCCUGUGCAAGGAUGACAGGCAAAUUCGUGAAGCGUUCCAUAUUUUU